GGCCGAACAUCCGGUAUCCGGCCAAACAACUAUCCGUUGCAUCUCUAGUUAUAACGUAACGAAGUGCUUAUAGUUAGUAGAUAUUUGGCAUUUUCAAAACUAUCCCACUUUCGAAGUUAUCCCAAUGCAGUUUCUAUCACGCAAUUGCAAACACGUUUCAAAUGUUGCCAUUGUCAAAAA